CCAUACAACUUCUUCUUCUGAGAAGCAGUUGUCCCUUUCAUUCUUAGCAAAGGAACAGUGUUAAGUCACUUUCAUUACCAACAAAUUUGUCUGACUGAUAUUGAAAAACAGAUUCUCAAAUUUCAAAUUUCAAACUCUCUCUCCCUCUCUAAACAACAAAGCCACAACCUUCUUCACUUGAUGAACUUGAUUUUCCUUCCAAAGAAGAAUCUCAUGGAUGUUGCUGGGCCGAUUUUCAUUCUGACGGAGCAGAUUUCAUUCUGAAACCCGAUGCGUGUUCUCCCAAAAGUGUUAUAUAUUUAAGCUCGAGUUGUUGUCUGGAAUUCUGCAACAAAGAAGAUGAAGAGAAAUAUGAAGAAGCAACACUCACCAUGAAGGAAGCGGCAGACUCAAACUUAGAAAAUUCUGCAUCAAUUCCAAGUGAAACCUCAAAAUGAUGGCGGACACAAUUUUUUGUUCAAGAUUCAAGUUAAAUUGUGUGAAGGGUAUCCCCUUUAUCUUAUUUCCAUUGGAAUGACUUGGUGAAACUUGUGAUUUCUUUCUUCUCUGUCCAGACAAGAAAGUGCAGAUAGUAUAUGAUCCAAAAUGUUGAUUGAUGCAGAAACCAAUUCUUAUGUUAGUUUUGAGAUGUCAUUGAUAUAUAACAUUUAAUUGCAUCAGUACUAGCUUUUAUUUCACAUUUCAUUUCUUUUAUGUGAUUUUUCAUGUUUUGCUAAUGAUAAUUUUCAGGGGUAAAAGCUUAAUUGUUUUGCUAAUGAUAAUUUUCCAUGUUUCAAAUCAUAUCAUUUAAGAAUUUUGCUUACUUAUCUUUGUACUACAAAUUGAUUUUUGCAUUAGUAUUGUUGUUAUCGUGGAUUAGUGUUCACUUUGCUAGAGGAAUUCACUAUAUCAUGAAUUACAAUAGGAUUGUUCGCUGCGAUUGAAUUUGAUUUAAAUUUGUUUCAAUUGAUUGUUCUCUAUUUUGUUUAUUGAUUUCAUUCUUUUACCUUGAGUUAUAUUUUCAGAAGUGCAGGUUACACUUCUUAAUAUCUUAUUUUUCUGUCAAACAAGAUGAUUCAUACGUUGACACCUACAUAUCAGUACAAUUGGAGUGGACUUUAUAAGCAUUCACAUCCACCACUUAACCUUUGCAAAUCUCUUGUUUCUAUUGGUUAAGAAGAUUACAUAAUGCAAGUAUAGCUAAAGUGUGGAAUAUUUAUCUGUUUAUAAGAUCUGAAGGGAAGCUGUUAGCAAGCUUAGUUAACGAGGAUUGACACUGGAAAGAUAAUGUAGAAGAUUAAUUUGGUUUUACAUCUAAGGGAGAUUUGUGGGCCGAAAUACAGACAUAGCUGCAAAAUUGGUUCUAAACUUCUAAAGGAUUUAUGCAUGAUAAUACAAUGUUUAUAAAGGAUUUUAUAGUUUCAUUCGAUCUUAAUGGUCUUAACUUUGUUUAGUUCAUGAGUUUAUCUUUGAAUAGAAUUUUAAAAGAUGUCUUGAAUGAAAAUAUAGAUGACAUUAUUAAAAUAUAACAUUAAGUUUUGCUCUGUUAUGAUA